UACGGGGGGAGCAAGCGUUGUUCGGAUUUACUGGGCGUAAAGGGCGCGUAGGCGGCGCAACAAGUCACUUGUGAAAUCUCCGGGCUUAACUCGGAACGGUCAACUGAUACUGUGCGACUAGAGUGCGGAAGGGGCAACUGGAAUUCUCGGUGUAGCGGUGAAAUGCGUAGAUAUCGAGAGGAACACCUGCGGCGAAGGCGGGUUGCUGGGCCGACACUGACGCUAAUGCGCGAAAGCCAGGGGAGCGAACGGG
rnacentral:rRNA from 1 species